AACGAACGCCGGCGGCAUGCCUAACACAUGCAAGUCGAACGGGACCUUCGGGUCUAGUGGCGCACGGGUGCGUAACGCGUGGGAAUCUGCCCUUGGGUUCGGAAUAACUUCGGGAAACUGAAGCUAAUACCGGAUGAUGACGUAAGUCCAAAGAUUUAUCGCCCAAGGAUGAGCCCGCGUAGGAUUAGCUAGUUGGUGGGGUAAAGGCCUACCAAGGCGACGAUCCUUAGCUGGUCUGAGAGGAUGAUCAGCCACACUGGGACUGAGACACGGCCCAGACUCCUACGGGAGGCAGCAGUGGGGAAUAUUGGACAAUGGGCGAAAGCCUGAUCCAGCAAUGCCGCGUGAGUGAUGAAGGCCUUAGGGUUGUAAAGCUCUUUUACCCGGGAUGAUAAUGACAGUACCGGGAGAAUAAGCUCCGGCUAACUUCGUGCCAGCCGCCGCAGUAACAC
rnacentral:rRNA from 1 species